rnacentral:lncRNA from 1 species
AUUCUCCUGCCUCAGCGUCUGCCUCAGCGUCUGCCUCAGCCUCCCGAGUAGCUGGGACUACAGGCAGCCGCCGCUACGCCCCGCUAAUUUUUUGUAAUUUUUAGUAGAGACGGGGUUUCACUGUGUUGGCCAGGAUGAUCUCAAUCUCCUGUGUCUUUAACUCUUCUUAAUUCCCCACUGAUGACGAAAAUGAUAGAAAGCAAUAAACCAGAUUUGAAAUUCAGAGUGAAACAUCUAAGAUCGUCUGCAGUGCAGUGGCACGCUCUCUGCAACCUCUGUCUCCCGGGUUCAAACCAUUCUCCUGCCUCAAUCUCCAGAGUGGCUGAUAUUACAGGAUUCCACCACCAAACCCAGGUUUAUAUGUGCAACUUGACAUUCCAAACAAAUACUUCAAGUCAAAAUAUUCCAAGCCGAAAUUCCUUCCAAACAUGCAUUUCAGCCUGGUUAUCUCUUGAAACCCUAAGGCAAAAAGUCA